rnacentral:lncRNA from 1 species
CCUAACUGGCAUACUAUGGACAGCAGAAGCCUUAAAGAUUCAAGUCUGGCCACAAGAACAAAGGUCUCUUCAAAGUCUACUCCUUCAAUUUGAGUGUACCCUUGUGCUACAAGUUUUGCCUUGUUCCUGACAAUGUUACCAUGCUUAUCCAUUUUUUUUCAUAUCUAUUUGGUUCCAAUAACAUUUACGUCUGUUGGUCUUGGGACUAGCUUGAGAACAUUGUUUUGCUCAAAUUGAGCCAAUUCUUCCUACACGGCUAACGCCCAUGUUUAAUCAUUUAAAGCUUCAGUCACUUUUUUAUUUCAACGGGAGAUGUGUAGUGCAUAUUUUCCAGUUCUAUGGCAAGUUUUCUUCUGGUCACUAUCCCGUUUCCUCGAUUAGAGAGUACAUUAACAAAAGAGCGUGCUUUCUGAAUCUAUGCAGGUGGCUAUCUUCUUUUUUGUUGUUCACUAUCCUUUUCUUCCAGUGAGUUUGCUAUCGUAGUGUUCAGUUCAUAUUCUACAAAUCUGGUUGUAGAUAGUUCCAGCUGACUGUUAAUUUCAGGCUCUGCUGUACCAUUUUCCUGAAUGUUCUGAGGAAUUUCAGUGAGUUCUUCCAAGCUACUCAUCUCAAGUUCCUGCAAAUAAUAUGUGUAAUCAUUAGUAUCAUCAAUUUUAACAUUAAUAGAUUCAAUAACUGUUUGAGUCCUCA